CUCAAAAUGCUCCUGCCUUUGCCUCGAUAGUUCUGAAUGCAAUUUAUUUUUAAGAUUUUGAUCUGCUCUUUCACCAACAGACUCACAGGAGAAAGAUGAGGCAAGGUGCAGUAGCAGCUCCUUCUAUCUGGAAUAGAUAAUCAAUAUAAUUCUUAGAGCAAGGAGAAGAACACACUUUCCAGUCCAACAGGAAUGAGAAAAUAAUGAACAGGAAAACCACAUCAAGCUAAAAAUGUUUUAUGCAUGCAGCGGCAUUCCAAGGAGAAGAUUACUUAAGGAUAAAAAUGUUAUCUGUGUCUCAAGACAUGGUCCAUCUUCCAAUGGAGACCCAAGAGAGCAAAAGAAAAAUGUCAGCAAACUAAGAACUGGCAAUGGACCAGGAAAAGAAGUUAAAAUGCUUCAUAAAAUAAAAAGACGUAAUUGUUUUCUUCCUUGAUUGCCUCUGCAGUCUCCAGUCGCAUGCAUUUCUCUACCUUCGCCACGUUAUGUGCAGGCUGGCAGGGAGCGAUCGGCACCUGGGAGGACGCAACCAAAGACCUGAGGGGCAGAUUUGGCUGGGGCUUGGAUGCCCAAAUAAAGGUUCAACUUUUAGGCCA
rnacentral:lncRNA from 1 species